rnacentral:rRNA from 1 species
AGAGUUUGAUCCUGGCUCAGGAUGAACGCUGGCAGCGUGGAUAAGGCAUGCAAGUCGAACGAUUUAUUGGGAUUUAUCGCAAGAUAACUUUUUAUAAAUAGUGGCAAACGGGUUAGUAACGCGUAGGGAAUCUGCCCAGAAGUAGGGAAUAAUCCGCCGAAAGGCGGACUAAUACUCUAUGGUCCCGCCUCUUUUUUAGAGGUGUGGUAAAGAUUUAUCGCUUCUGGAAGACCCUGCGUCCUAUCAGCUUGUUGGUGAGGUAAUGGCUCACCAAGGCUAUGACGGGUAGGGGGAUUGAGAGAUUGACCCCCAACAUUGGGACUGAGACACUGCCCAGACACCUACGGGUGGCUGCAGUCGAGAAUCUUCGGCAAUGGGCGAAAGCCUGACCGAGCGACGCUGCGUGCAGGAAGAAGGCCUUCGGGUUGUAAACUGCUGUUCUUAGGGAAGAACUUUGACGGUACCUAAGCAGAAAGGAGCACCUAACUCUGUGCCAGCAGGUGCGGUAAUACAGAGGCUCCGAGCGUUAUCCGGAUUUAUUGGGCGUAAAGCGUCCGCAGGUGGAAUGGUAAGUCUGUUGUUAAAUACUAGGGCUCAACCCUAGUGCCGCAGCAGAUACUGUCAUUCUCGAGGUAGGUAGAGGUUAAGGGAACUUAUGGUGAAGCGGUGAAAUGCGUUGAUAUCAUAGGGAACACCAAUAGCGAAGGCACUUAACUGGUCCUAUCCUGACACUCAUGGACGACAGCGUGGGGAGCGAAGCGGAUUAGAUACCCGCGUAGUCCACGCCGUAAACGAUGAUGACUAGGCAUUGGGAGAAUCGACCCUCUCAGUGUCGAAGCUAACGCGUUAAGUCAUCCGCCUGGGUAGUACGGCCGCAAGGCUAAAACUCAAAGGAAUAGACGGGAGCCCGCACAAGCGGUGGAGCGUGUGGUUUAUAAUUCGAUGGUAAGCGAAGAACCUUACCAGGUCUAGAAAUUCGGCUGCACACCCCAAGAAACUGGGGAGCCUUCGAGGGUGCCGAACAGGUGCUGCAUGGUUGUCGUCAGCUCGUGGUGUGAACUGUUCCCUUCAGUGGGGUAACGAGCGCAACCCUUGUCGUGUGUUACUUUUCACGCGAGACUGCCGUGGUUAACACGGGGGAAGGCGGGGAUGACGUCAAAUCAGCAUGGUCCUCUGACGACCUGGGCUACACACGCGCUACAAUGGUUGGGACAACGAGUUAUUUUUGCCACUGCGUAAGCAGGAGCUAAUCUUUCAAACCCAAUCUCAGUCCGGAUUGAGGGCUGCAACUCGCCCUCAUGAAGCUGGAAUCGCUAGUAACCGCGGAUCAGCUACGCCGCGGUGAAUACGUUCUCGGGCUUUGUACUCACCGCCCGUCAACUCAGAAGAGCUGACAAUACCCGAAG